CCACUUGCACCAAAGUUAAUUGCCCUUAUAUUUUAACCCCAUACAAUCAAGGUAGCGAUCGAACUACUGCUAUGGUAAAGCUUUAGUAAAUAGGUCCGUUAUGUUGUUCUUUGUUUCUACUCAUUCAAUGAUUACAUCUUGUCUUUCGAUAAUUUUUUGAACGAGAUGAAAGUAUCUUAGAAUGUGCUUGGAUUUAUGAUG
rnacentral:lncRNA from 1 species